rnacentral:rRNA from 1 species
AGAGCGAACGCUGGCGGCAGGCCUAACACAUGCAAGUCGAGCGCCCGUAGCAAUACGGGAGCGGCAGACGGGAUAGUAACACGUGGGAACGCGCCCUUCGGUUCGGAAUAACUCAGGGAAACUUGAGCUAAUACCGGAUACGCCCUUACGGGGAAAGAUUUAUUGCCGAAGGAACGGCCCGCGUCCGAUUAGCUAGUUGGUGAGGUAAUGGCUCACCAAGGCGACGAUCGGUAGCUGGUCUGAGAGGAUGACCAGCAUCACUGGGACUGAGACACGGCCCAGACUCCUACGGGAGGCAGCAGUGGGGAAUAUUGGACAAUGGGCGCAAGCCUGAUCCAGCCAUGCCGCGUGGAUGAUGAAGGCCUUAGGGUUGUAAGUCCUUUAACGGGGAAGAUAAUGACGGUACCCGUAGAACUAGCCCGGCUAACUUCGCGCCAGCAGCCGC